AUAAUUGACGACUGCGUUUCAAUCUUCAGAUUUCUCUGUCAUUACUCAAAAAUCAACAACUACAAUUCUUACUUGAAUGACUUGACAGCUUACCAAACAGUAUAAUUCAUAAGGUACCAUUAACUUUCGUUCGGAGUGGUAGCUCCAAAAUCCUGAAACUAUGGUCAUUGUUAUUCAAAAUAAAAUUAGCCUUCUAUUUUCACAUUUUCCGGCUCAAGUUUCAGCGGAAGCCCCAUGGCUGGAUAGGGUAUCGGGGCACGAGUUACAGGUUCAUCAGGACAGAUCCUUGGCCCUGCUCCGAAUGGGAUGUAUGUGAACCGAGGGGAUAGUUUCGAUGGCGUAUCGAACCUUGAGGGAUCAAUCUUGUCUGGAUCUUCAAAGAUGGUCUCGUCCAUAUGUGUACUUGAAGCCACCCGCAAAAGCUGUAUUUCAAGAGCUAAUUAAGGUUUAAUUACAAAUAUUUACCUGCAUAAGUAGUUUAAAGCAUUUAUUUUCAGUACAAAUCGGAUGCACCUGGCAUCCUUUGGGAAUAUGAAAUUCACCAAAGCUAAUGUCUCUGGUUGUUAGGCGAAACUUUCCAAAAACUGGAGGGUGAAAUCUCAUAAUCUCUUGAGCGACAUUCCACGUAUACAUCAUUUUUAUAUCAAUCCAACUCAUGAAUUCUCCAUUA